CCCGAAGAAGAAGAACACUUAUACGCUCCAAAGUCACUAACAGGUUGCAC
rnacentral:sRNA from 1 species